rnacentral:rRNA from 1 species
UACGAAGGUCCCAAGCGUUGUUCGGAAUCACUGGGCGUAAAGGGAGCGUAGGCGGCGCGGUAAGUCACUUGUGAAAUCUCUGAGCUUAACUCAGAACGGCCAAGUGAUACUGCAGUGCUAGAGUGCAGAAGGGGCAAUCGGAAUUCUUGGUGUAGCGGUGAAAUGCGUAGAUAUCAAGAGGAACACCUGAGGUGAAGACGGGUUGCUAGGCUGACACUGACGCUGAGGCGCGAAAGCCAGGGGAGCAAACGGG